rnacentral:rRNA from 1 species
CCUACGGGUGGCAGCAGUAGGGAAUAUUGCUCAAUGGGGGAAACCCUGAAGCAGCAACGCCGCGUGGAGGAUGAAGGUUUUCGGAUUGUAAACUCCUUUUGUUAUAGAAGAUAAUGACGGUAUCUAACGAAUAAGCACCGGCUAACGCCGUGCAAGCAGCCGCGGUAAUACGGAGGGUGCAAGCGUUACUCGGAAUCACUGGGCGUAAAGGGCGCGUAGGCGGGAUAGCAAGUCAGAUGUGAAAUCCUAUGGCUUAACCAUAGAACUGCAUUUGAAACUGUUAUUCUAGAGUAUGGGAGAGGUAGGUGGAAUGCUUGGUGUAGGGGUAAAAUCCGUAGAGAUCAAGAGGAAUACUCAUUGCGAAGGCGACCUGCUAGAACAUAACUGACGCUGAUGCGCGAAAGCGUGGGGAGCAAACAGGAUUAGAUACCCGUGUAGUC